rnacentral:rRNA from 1 species
CCCUUAGACGUUCUGGGCCGCACGCGCGCUACAAUGGUCUUCGCAAACGGAUGCAUUCUCGAAGGAGAAUGCCAAUCUUGGAAUCUAUGCCUUGGUCGGGACAGUUGCUUGCAAUUUUUCGACUCGAACCAGGAAUUCCUUGUAAUCGUGAUUCAUCACAUCACGAUGAAUACGUCCCUGCCCUUUGUACACACCGCCCGUCGCUCCUACCGAUCGAAGAGUUAGGUGAAUUGUUUUGAUCGAUAAGAUUUGACUAUGGUCAACUCUCGUUGUGAAAUUCUGUGAAUCUGACUGUUUAGAGGAAGGAAAAGUCGUAACA